rnacentral:rRNA from 1 species
UGUUCGAUUCCGGAGAGGGAGCCUGAGAAACGGCUGCCACAUCUAAGGAAGGCAGCAGGAGCGUAAAUUACCCAAUGUCGACUCGAUGAGCGUAGUGGCAAUACAUAACAAAGAGGGGAUUUAUUAUCUUACUCUAUUGCAAUGAGGCACGUUUAAUAACCUGUUCGAGCAACCAGUGAAGGGCAAGUCUGGUGCCAGCAGCCGCGGUAAUUCCAGCUUCACGAGUGUAUAUUUAAGUUGUUGCAGUUAAAAAGCUCGUAGUUGAACUUCUGUUCGUUCAGUAGAUGGUCAAACAUCGACUGGAUGAGCAUCCGCCUGAAAAAUCAUUCGGGUCUUCACUGAUUCAGUGAUGGAUCAGGCAUUUUACUUUGAAAAAAUUAGAGUGUUCAAAGCAGGCUAUCGCCUGAAUACAUUAGCAUGGAAUAAUAGAAUAGGACGCUGUUCAAUUUGUUGGUUAUUGAAUUGCGUAAUGAUUAAUAGGGACAGUUGGGGGCAUUUGUAUUUAAUUGUCAGAGGUGAAAUUCUUGGAUUUAUUAAAGACAAACUUAUGCGAAAGCAUUUGCCAAGGAUGUUUUCAUUAAUCAAGAACGAAAGUUAGAGGAUCAAAGACGAUCAGAUACCGUCCUAGUUUUAACUAUAAACUAUGCCGACUCGGUCUCCGUCGAGUAAUUUUACCUCGAUGGGUGCCGUAUGAGAAAUCAAAGUCUUUGGGUUCCGGGGGGAGUAUGGUCGCAAGGUUGAAACUUAAAGGAAUAGACGGAACAUCACUACCAGGUGUGGAUCCUGCGGCUUAAUUUGACCCAACACGGGGAAACUUACCAGCGCAAAGCAAGGGUGGGAUUGACAGAUUGAGAGCUCUUUCUUGAUUCUUUGGAUAGUGGUGCAUGGCCGUUCUUAGUUGGUGGAGUGAUUUGUCUGCUUAAUUGCGUUAACGAACGAGACCUCAACCUACUUACUAGACGUGCGAUUUCCCAUCGUGCGUUCUUCUUAGAGGGACUGUGCGGAGACAAACGCAAGGAAGUUUGAGGCAAUAACAGGUCUGUGAUGCCCUUAGAUGUGCUGGGCCGCACGCGGGAUACAAUGACCCGUUCAGAAAGUAUAGCCUGACCCGGAAGGGAGUGGGUAAUCUUUUUAAUGCGGGUCGUGCUAGGGAUCGAUCUUUGCAAUUAUAGAUCUUGAACGAGGAAUACCUAGUAAGUGCAAGUCAUCAGCUUGUACUGAUUACGUCCCUGGUGUUUGUACUCACCGCCCGUCGCUCCUACCAAUUUCGAAUGAUCCGGUGAACCUUUUGGAUUGGGAGCAAGCCUAAGAAGUUAAGUAAACCUUAUCAUUUAGAGGAAGGAGAAGUCGUAACAAGGUU